rnacentral:tRNA from 1 species
UAGCUCAGUCAGUUAGAGCGUGGUGCUGAUAAUGCCCAGGUCGCGGGUUCGAUCCCUGU